ACGCGCGGUGCACGGUGCUUCCCCGGCGGAGCCGACCGACCAACCCGCGCUCCGGCAGAGUCCUUGGCGCUCGCCUGCCGGCGGGACAGACAGCCCGCCUCUAGCCGCUCUCUGGACCCUGGCCGCCCCGAGCGAAGACUGGAGGAAGAGCUGAGAUUCGCCAUCCAGAACAAGCACCUUUGCCAUCGGAUGUCCUCUGCGCUGGAGUCAGUCACCAUCAACAACAGACCUCUGGAGAUGUCAGUCACCAAGUCUGAGGUGGCCCCUGAAGAAGAUGAGAGAAAAAGGAGGCGGCGGGAAAGAAACAAAAUUGCUGCUGCCAAGUGUCGAAACAAGAAAAAAGAGAA
rnacentral:lncRNA from 1 species